rnacentral:lncRNA from 1 species
CCGUGGGCCUGUGGGUUGCGGUAAUUGUCCCUCGGAAGACUGGGCUGGGCUGAAAAAAUGUUCGAGCUUAAUUUGGUCUGUCUUCCCGAGCGGCCUGAGCCGUGACUCGGCUCGGCUCUGCAGCUCAAACAAGCUAGCCCAGUAGGCCGACUCGGUUUGGGCGUCAGGAUAACCAUGCAUGCAUGACGGAUGAUUCCAACUUUACAAGGCAAAUUAAACCCAAUAUAUACGUGCAGAGAUCGAAUCAGUCAGUUAACAAAACUCCCGGCGUGCUAAAAAAAAAAACCAAAUCCGGGCCGGUUGAUCCAUCCGUUUAACCCAAUACGUGCAGAUCCAGGCAAGCAUACCGAAAAGACUCUUCCGCACUCCUCCCUCGCCUACCUCUCUCCUUCCUCCUCGCGAUGCCGACGCAUACUCUUCUCCUUCCUCCGUGAGGCAUGACCGCUUCCCCCUCUUCCUCCUUCGUGUGUUGACGUAGCCCCUCCCCCCCUCCUCUCCUUCUUCCUCGCGCGCGCCGCCUCCUUCUCCCUCCUCGGCCGUGUGCUGUAUAGCCUGGGCAUGUGUGCUUUAUAGUCUGGUCGAUGAUAGAUUUAGUAAAUUUAAUUUGGAAUUCUUAAAGUUGGUUAAUUUUUUUAUAAACUUGGUC